UAACGCGUGGGUAACCUGCCUUACACUGGGGGAUAACACUUAGAAAUAGGUGCUAAUACCGCAUAAGCGCACGAAGCCGCAUGGGGCAGUGUGAAAAACUCCGGUGGUAUACGAUGGAUCCGCGUCUGAUUAGCUAGUUGGCGGGGUAACGGCCCACCAAGGCAGCGAUCAGUAGCCGGCCUGAGAGGGUGGACGGCCACAUUGGGACUGAGACACGGCCCAAACUCCUACGGGAGGCAGCAGUGGGGAAUAUUGCACAAUGGGGGAAACCCUGAUGCAGCGAUGCCGCGUGAGUGAAGAAGUAUCUCGGUACGUAAAGCUCUAUCAGCAGGGAAGAAAAUGACGGUACCUGACCAAGAAGCCCCGGCUAACUACGUGCCAGCAGCCGCGGUAAUACGUAGGGGGCAAGCGUUAUCCGGAUUUACUGGGUGUAAAGGGAGCGUAGACGGCAGCACAAGUCUGGAGUGAAAUCCCGGGGCUUAACCCCGGAACUGCUUUGGAAACUGUGCGGCUGGAGUGCAGGAGGGGUAAGCGGAAUUCCUAGUGUAGCGGUGAAAUGCGUAGAUAUUAGGAGGAACACCGGUGGCGAAGGCGGCUUACUGGACUGUAACUGACGUUGAGGCUCGAAAGCGUGGGGAGCAAACAGGAUUAGAUACCCUGGUAGU
rnacentral:rRNA from 1 species